rnacentral:rRNA from 1 species
CCCUUAGAUGUUCUGGGCCGCACGCGCGCUACACUGAAGGGAUCAGCGUGUCUUCUCCCUUCCCGAGAGGGACGGGUAACCCGCUGAACCCCCUUCGUGGUAGGGAUCGGGGCUUGCAAUUAUUCCCCGUGAACCAGGAAUUCCCAGUAAGCGCAAGUCAUAAGCUUGCGUUGAUUACGUCCCUGCCCUUUGUACACACCGCCCGUCGCUACUACCGAUUGAACGUUUUAGUGAGGUAUUUGGAUUGGAUCAUCGGGGGUUCGCGCCCCCGUUGGCUUCCGAGAAGACUCCCAAACUUGAGCGUUUAGAGGAAGUAAAANUCGUAACA